rnacentral:pre_miRNA from 2 species
CACCACUAGCUGUUGAAGCUGCCAGCAUGAUCUGAAUCUGAACCCUCCGCCGCCCCGAUCUCACGUCGGUCCAUCGGAAUCGGAUCAUAUUGGUAGCUUCAUCUGCUCAUGGU